GUGGCGUGCUUAACACAUGCAAGUCGAACGGUGAUGCCCAGCUUGCUGGGUGGAUCAGUGGCGAACGGGUGAGUAACACGUGAGCAACCUGCCCCUCACUUCGGGAUAAGCCUUGGAAACGAGGUCUAAUACCGGAUACGAGCGCCUGCCGCAUGGUGGGUGUUGGAAAGUUUUUCGGUGGGGGAUGGGCUCGCGGCCUAUCAGCUUGUUGGUGGGGUAAUGGCCUACCAAGGCGUCGACGGGUAGCCGGCCUGAGAGGGCGACCGGCCACACUGGGACUGAGACACGGCCCAGACUCCUACGGGAGGCAGCAGUGGGGAAUAUUGCACAAUGGGCGAAAGCCUGAUGCAGCGACGCCACGUGAGGGAUGACGGCCUUCGGGUUGUAAACCUCUUUCAGCAGGGAAGAAGCGAAAGUGACGGUACCUGCAGAAGAAGCGCCGGCUAACUACGUGCCAGCAGCCGCGGUAAUACGUAGGGCGCAAGCGUUGUCCGGAAUUAUUGGGCGUAAAGAGCUCGUAGGCGGUCUGUCGCGUCUGGUGUGAAAUCUCAUGGCUCAACUGUGAGCUUGCAUCGGGUACGGGCAGACUAGAGUGCUGUAGGGGAGACUGGAAUUCCUGGUGUAGCGGUGGAAUGCGCAGAUAUCAGGAGGAACACCGAUGGCGAAGGCAGGUCUCUGGGCAGUUACUGACGCUGAGGAGCGAAAGCAUGGGGAGCGAACAGGAUUAGAUACCCUGGUAGUCCAUGCCGUAAACGUUGGGCACUAGGUGUGGGGCGGGUUCCACUCGUUCUGUGCCGCAGCUAACGCAUUAAGUGCCCCGCCUGGGGAGUACGGCCGCAAGGCUAAAACUCAAAGGAAUUGACGGGGGCCCGCACAAGCGGCGGAGCAUGCGGAUUAAUUCGAUGCAACGCGAAGAACCUUACCAAGGCUUGACAUGUACGAGAAAGCCCCAGAGAUGGGGUU
rnacentral:rRNA from 1 species